rnacentral:lncRNA from 1 species
CAGCCGGAAAUACGUACCGAUCCUCUUAAAAGACCCUCACCCACCAAAAUUCAUAAAAAUCGUUUAAGCGAUUUCCGAGAAAUUACCGUGUUGCCAGACUUUUUUGCAAGCCUGUAUAUAGUUUUUAGUACUGAAUACACAUUUUGUCCUUUGAACGCAUGAGAAAGAUCAUUCAAGAGUGAUAUUAAAAAAUUACAUUCCAAAUUCAAAACAAUAGCACAUAGAAAAAAAUAAAGAAUCAGAGUAGAAUAGACAAGAUAAAAAUAUAAUACUGUAUUUACAUUUCUUUAAUCAUUACAUUUUUUCCUUAAAUUCUGUCACUUUUGUAUAUGCUAGUGUUUUUGGUGAGUCGUAUGAUCUACAGUGUGUUUUCAUAGUAUAGAAUAAAUUCUUUGGUUCUUAAAUCUUUAAUACUUUUUUAUAAUUUCUUAGUAUAUCGUUACUGACGCAUUUUUAAAUGAUUUUAAUGAAGGGAGCUUAUUUAAUUUUUUACUUUUCUUUUUUACUACCCAAAUAAGAUUUUUCUAUUUUGGUUUAGACAAUAAGAUUUUAUUCUUUACUUGUUUACACAUUGUAUGUAAGAGGAGAAAUUCAAAAGGAUAGUUAAUACAUAACACUGGCUUACGUUAUGUCAGAUAUAAGAGGGGAAAAGGUGUCUGGAAAAAUUAUUCUAAUACGAAAAACUUCAGUUAACAAUUUUCAUUUUCUUGUAGAAGCUUAACAUUUUUGGAGAUUAACCCUCAUUGUGGAUCAUUUCAUUGUAUUUACUGCUGCUGUAGACACGGUACCAGAGAAUACGAGAAACAUGGGAGAAGCAAGGACUCUGAAAACACUCAAUAUCAACAAGAGGGGAAAUAAUUUGAAAUACGUCUAAGGAAAAUGUAUCAGAUUUUCUUGAAUUUCCCGGGUAAGAAAAUCCGGAAAAUGAAAUUUAAAAAAUGGAAUAGUUUGUGAUUAACUGCGUGACAGAUUGAAGCAGCUUCUAGAGUGAUAUUCAGAAAGAAGUAAGCGAUUUUAUACCUGCAUUUAUUGUAUAUAAUUUGUACAUAUAUAUUGUAUAUCUUACAUCUUAAACUAUUUAUUCCUGUAUAAGCAAAUAAAUCAGUUGUAUGGGAAA